rnacentral:rRNA from 1 species
UGGGGAAUUUUGGACAAUGGGCGCAAGCCUGAUCCAGCCAUGCCGCGUGAGUGAAGAAGGCCUUCGGGUUGUAAAGCUCUUUCGGCGGGGACGAAAUGGUUCGUGCCAAUACCACGGACUGAUGACGGUACCUGAAGAAGAAGCACCGGCUAACUACGUGCCAGCAGCCGCGGUAAUACGUAGGGUGCAGGCGUUAAUCGGAAUUACUGGGCGUAAAGCGUGCGCAGGCGGUUUGUUAAGACAGAUGUGAAAUCCCCGGGCUUAACCUGGGAACUGCGUUUGUAACUGGCAGACUGGAGUGUGGCAGAGGGGGGUGGAAUUCCAAGUGUAGCAGUGAAAUGCGUAGAUAUUUGGAGGAACACCGAUGGCGAAGGCAGCCCCCUGGGCUAACACUGACGCUCAUGCACGAAAGCGUGGGGAGCAAACGGGAUUAGAUACCCAAGUAG